GAGGUCUUGGUCUAGUGGUUAAGACACCCAAGUAAUACCUUUGAGGUUCUGGGUUCGACUCCCGGUGAGAACG